AUCGUUUCUCUCUCUAAAAUGAAAUAGUCUGUAAUAACCCACACCUUUUAAUUUGGGGAAAAUUUGACUGAGGAAAAGCAGAUAAAGAGUUUUUGAGAGAGCAAUGAGAGGGCGUUCAGGACUCCAACUCUCUCCAGACUUAAUGACAUUGGUCCUAUAAGCAUUCCAGUCGUUUCCCUAAUCCAUCAUCCGGCGCCUGCCAGCGCCCCCUGGGAGACAGACUUUGGGACAAACUUCUUUCCCAGGUCAGCCCGCCCACCUCCCGCCGCGAGCGCUCCCUGCGUAAGUGACUUGUGCUGACACAACGCACCGCAUCUGGUGUAGGGAGCUUUCCGGGUGACUCACGUCUUUGCAAUUUGCUUUUGUUUCUGGGGUGUUUUAGCUGCAAUUUUCUUCCCUCUGGUUUUAAUUUUGAGAGGAGGGGGGAAAAACCACCCAUAAUGAAUCAAGAAUGAGUGUCCUUUCCAGUAACCCUCCCCCACUUUAAAGUUGACUGUCUUUACAAGUUUGAUAACUACCCUAGACGUGCGGGGGCGGCACAGGUAGGAAGGCAUUAACUAACUACCUCAUAAACUGAAGUUGCCAGCCAAACCGAGCCACGAGAGAGGAGACUUUCUGAAUCUCCCUCACAACCCAGGCGUUUGCCGCGGCGGAUGUAACCUGUGCAGCUCCUUCCUUCUACUGCUGCUUUGCUCACGCUUAAAUCCCUCUCCUCACUGCCAGCGGUGCCAGAAGCAGCGUGAAUUCCAAGAGAUCCACCAGCGGUUUUGUUUCUGUCCGAGGUAAAUACGCUAUGCAAAAUACGGAACCACCAAAGGAUGCCGGGGAGGGGGAACAGAAGGGGAAUCCCUCACCUUCUCGGGAUGCGUUGCUCAUUUAUCUCCGCCUGGGGGAGUCGCCCAGCCUAGGUUGCCCCUCGUAUUCCUCCCUGAAGCCCCUACCUGGGGCAGCAGAGGUGGCCAGCGCGGCGGCGAUCUCUCCUGCAGCCCUGGCCCUCCCCCGCCCCCCGGCUUGGUUUUUCCCAGCCGUGGAGGUUGGGCCAGGGGCUGGGGUGAGAGGAGAGUCGGCGCCCGCAGCAGGAGCUGGGAAGGCGCGUGGACUCGGGUGGCACUCGGAGUUGGCUUUGCAGGCGCGGGGUGCGGAGGUCGCUCAUCCGAUCCUGCCCUGAGAGAGGCGCCAACAAAGGAGUUGAGGAGGUGCCACCCACCCCAGUUGCGGCGGGAGGAGGAGCGCCAAGGCCCGUGUCCCGACCCGCCGUGCGUACUCACUGGAGGGAAGGGCGGGGUGCCGCUCCGGGAGGGGGACGCCCGGUGGCUCGGGGUUAGCCAAGUUCCAGCUUUUGGCGUCCCCUCCUCUGCUCCCACGCGAGGAAAGUUUGCCGUCGACGCUUGCGGCCGGCUCGCGCCCGCCGGGCCCAGGCGGUCGAGUCUUCGGAGCGGGCGCUGUCCCAGCU
rnacentral:lncRNA from 1 species